rnacentral:tRNA from 1 species
GCUUCGCUAGCUCAGUCGGUAGAGCGUCAGUCUCAUAAUCUGAAGGUCGACAGUUCGAACCUGCCGCGAAGNN